UUGAAUUAAUGAUGUUUGUGUGGAGGCUAAAAAAAUAAAAACAAAAAUGAAAAAAAUAAAAAUAAGGGGCCUGCCAAUACCUUAUGUCCAAAAGUGGUAGCAUUACCUAGGCUAUUGGUACUACCACCAGCAACUUGACCCAAAACCUCUUUAUGUUUAGAGUUGGCAGUAGAAUCACCCUAUACUCCUCUAAACACCU
rnacentral:lncRNA from 1 species